UACAGAGGUGGCAAGCGUUGUUCGGAAUUACUGGGCGUAAAGGGCGCGUAGGCGGCCUACUAAGUCAGACGUGAAAUCCCCCGGCUUAACCUGGGAACUGCGUCUGAUACUGGAAGGCUUGAGGAUGGGAGAGGGAUGUAGAAUUCCACGUGUAGCAGUGAAAUGCGUAGAUAUGGGGAGGAACACCGGUGGCGAAGGCGGCCAUCUGGACGGUAACUGACGCUGAGACGCGAAAGCGUGGGUAGCAAACAGG
rnacentral:rRNA from 1 species